CCCGUCACAUCACGAAAGUGGAUUGUACUAGAAGUCUGCGCGCUAACCCGCAAGGGAGGCAGCGGCCCAAGGUAUGAUUCAGUGAGUUGGGGUG
rnacentral:rRNA from 1 species